rnacentral:rRNA from 1 species
CAGUCGCCGCGGUAAUACGUAUGUCACAAGCGUUAUCCGGAUUUAUUGGGCGUAAAGCGCGUCUAGGUGGUUAUGUAAGUCUGAUGUGAAAAUGCAGGGCUCAACUCUGUAUUGCGUUGGAAACUGUGUAACUAGAGUACUGGAGAGGUAAGCGGAACUACAAGUGUAGAGGUGAGAUUCGUAGAUAUUUGUAGGAAUGCCGAUGGGGAAGCCAGCUUACUGGACAGAUACUGACGCUAAAGCGCGAAAGCGUGGGUAGCAAACAGGAUUAGAUACCCCAGUAGUCCCUGUCUCUUAUACC